GUCCUAGCUUCGGCUGGACAUAUACUAAAAUUGGAACGAUACAGAGGAGAAGAUUAGCAUGGCCCCUGCGCAAGGAUGAUACGCAAAAUCGCGAAGCGUGAUUAUUCAAA